UUCCAAGACUAGCUUGAGAAAGCACAUUCAGGCAAAAGGGGGAACACCUAUGCAACGGCAUGCAUGGGAAGGCCAGACGACCACACGACUUCACAGACCCAGAUCAUGCCGGCUAGGAAGAAAGUGCCGUUCCCGGCUGAGCCAUCUCACUAGCUCCAGAUUUUCCUCUUGCAGAUGUUGAAAUGUUUUGCGAUAGAUUAUUAGAUGUUUGGUAUGCAUUAUCCUGUCUCUAGAAUUUUGUCUUUAAGUUUCCAAAUGCCGAAAAGUGGAAUCAAAAGGAAAGAGCAAACAGCAAAGACCAUUUAAUGAAAACGUCUUAGAGUCUACUCCUAUAGGUUUGGUGUCUUGGGGUAAUUUAUUAACUCUCCUUUGCAUAGGCCAGACUGAUCAUGUCCACUGGCUGCCAGAGCAGAAAAGUGUUUCAGAUGGCAUGAUACCCGUCAUCCUCUGGACUGCCUUACAGGGGCCUCCAUAAACCUUUCUUUCCUUCUGGUAGAGGUGUCAUUCACAAAGGCUGGAAGGAAAUGGAGCUAUGGGGAGGCGGGGAGAGGACACUCCAAG
rnacentral:lncRNA from 1 species